rnacentral:rRNA from 1 species
UACGAAGGGGGCUAGCGUUGUUCGGAAUUACUGGGCGUAAAGCGCACGUAGGCGGAUAUUUAAGUCAGGGGUGAAAUCCCAGAGCUCAACUCUGGAACUGCCUUUGAUACUGGGUAUCUUGAGUAUGGAAGAGGUAAGUGGAAUUGCGAGUGUAGAGGUGAAAUUCGUAGAUAUUCGCAGGAACACCAGUGGCGGAAGGCGGCUUACUGGUCCAUUACUGACG